UACGAAGGGGGCUAGCGUUGUUCGGAUUUACUGGGCGUAAAGCGCACGUAGGCGGAUCGUUAAGUUAGGGGUGAAAUCCUGGAGCUCAACUCCAGAACUGCCUUUAAUACUGGCGAUCUAGAGUCCGGAAGAGGUGAGUGGAACUCCUAGUGUAGAGGUGGAAUUCGUAGAUAUUAGGAAGAACACCAGUGGCGAAGGCGGCUCACUGGUCCGGUACUGACGCUGAGGUGCGAAAGCGUGGGGAGCAAACAGGG
rnacentral:rRNA from 1 species